rnacentral:rRNA from 1 species
AGCGAACGCUGGCGGCAGGCUUAACACAUGCAAGUCGAGCGGGCAUCUUCGGAUGUCAGCGGCAGACGGGUGAGUAACACGUGGGAACGUACCCUUCGGUUCGGAACAACUCUGGGAAACUGGAGCUAAUACCGGAUACGCCCUUAUGGGGAAAGGUUUACUGCCGAAGGAUCGGCCCGCGUCUGAUUAGCUAGUUGGUGGGGUAACGGCCUACCAAGGCGACGAUCAGUAGCUGGUCUGAGAGGAUGAUCAGCCACACUGGGACUGAGACACGGCCCAGAAUCCUACGGGAGGCAGCAGUGGGGAAUAUUGGACAAUGGGCGCAAGCCUGAUCCAGCCAUGCCGCGUGAGUGAUGAAGGCCUUAGGGUUGUAAAGCUCUUCUGUCCGGGACGAUAAUGACGGUACCGGAAGAAUAAGCCCCGGCUAACUUCGUG